rnacentral:rRNA from 1 species
GACGAACGCUGGCGGCGCGCCUAAUACAUGCAAGUAGAACGCUGAAGCGAGGAGCUUGCUCUUCUUGGAUGAGUUGCGAACGGGUGAGUAACGCGUAGGUAACCUGCCUUGUAGCGGGGGAUAACUAUUGGAAACGAUAGCUAAUACCGCAUAACAAUGGAUGACACAUGUCAUUUAUUUGAAAGGGGCAAUUGCUCCACUACAAGAUGGACCUGCGUUGUAUUAGCUAGUAGGUGAGGUAAUGGCUCACCUAGGCGACGAUACAUAGCCGACCUGAGAGGGUGAUCGGCCACACUGGGACUGAGACACGGCCCAGACUCCUACGGGAGGCAGCAGUAGGGAAUCUUCGGCAAUGGGGGCAACCCUGACCGAGCAACGCCGCGUGAGUGAAGAAGGGUUUCGGAUCGUAAAGCUCUGUUGUAAGUCAAGAACGGGUGUGAGAGUGGAAAGUUCACACUGUGACGGUAGCUUACCAGAAAGGGACGGCUAACUACGUG